rnacentral:lncRNA from 1 species
AACAGUGUAUUCAGGACCUUCAAAGGCUCACAAAUCAGCUGGAAAUCUUCAAGUGCAAUCACAUAUAUAGAGAGGCAAAUUGUACAGCUGACUUCCUAUCUAAAUGGAGUCAUAACUCCGACAUUCUAUAGCAAUUUUACACCUACCAGCAGCUGACCAGGUUGGCCAAAGGAAGCUAUGUUUUAGAAAAAUUGGGUUUGACUACUUUCAGGAGGAAAAAGUUGAAAAGAAUCAAACAUCCUCCCUGAUCCUUGCAACUAGGACCAAUUGUACCUCUAUAUGUAGUUCUACACAAUGGUCUCAACUUGAAAAAUUUCUUCGUCAGUUUCGCACGUACAAGUCCACAAUUCUCUAACACUUGUAAUCAAUUUCCAGAAGAAUGCUUAGCCAUUCAUUUCUAUCCAAAGCUAACUUAAUCACUGCACCCUAAAAUCUAAAUAAAAUGGAAAGCAUGACUAGAUAAACAAUUUCAGAAACUAAUAAAGUUGAAGCAACAAAAACAUAAUACUUAUAAGAUUUACACUAAUUUAGUGAUUAAUAAACUAGCAUUACGUUUGGCCUUUAAAGAAUCUAUGGGAGUUGAGACCCCAUCAAAACACCUCAUAUUUCUUUCAACCAUAUGCUCCAAAAAAUGCAAACAGGUAUUUAUCAACUUCCCACAAACACCCAGAUCUGUAUGCUUUCCUUGCUGAUUUAUACUUAUUUAGUGAUUAAUCAACUGAUGUGGGUAAUACAACUACGAGCUAAACUCCCAAAAAUCAACAAAAAUCGUAUUUGCAGACACAAGAAUAUCAAAACCCUAAAGCUAAAAUUUAGACUUUCAAAGAUAGAAUUUUUACCUGAUAAACCCUAUUCCACCAAAAUCCUUUCAAUGUGUUGAAGCUUUAAGACACCAUCUUCUCAAGUGAAGCAUUUUAGUGAGGCGUGUUCAUCUGUGAGGCAUAACCUUCUGCUCUUCAACAAGAAAUCGUGAAAUCGUGUUCUUCAGCGAGUAGCUCUUCAGCUCUUCAACGUGAAAUCGUGAAAUCU